UACGUAGGUGGCAAGCGUUGUCCGGAUUUACUGGGCGUAAAGAGCGCGCAGGCGGUCAGAUAAGUCGAAUGUGAAAGCCCCCGGCUCAACUGGGGAGGGUCAUUCGAUACUGUUCGACUCGAAGGCAGGAGAGGGAAGCGGAAUUCCCGGUGUAGUGGUGAAAUGCGUAGAUAUCGGGAGGAACACCAGUGGCGAAGGCGGCUUCCUGGCCUGUUCUUGACGCUGAGGCGCGAAAGCU
rnacentral:rRNA from 1 species